rnacentral:lncRNA from 1 species
UUUAAUUAGCAAUUAUAUUUACAAUAAGUUUGAAUGACUCAUUAAUACUACACUAGUUAUGUUACCUUCUUAAAUAAUUAUUUUACUGCAUCACUAUCAUCUAUCAUUAAUCCCAGAGGGCAAACCGCGCUGCAACUUUGAUGCUUCCUUCUCAGUUUCGCAAUCUCUGUGUGCAUCCCUAAGCACCUGACCGAGGUCCUCAGUAUCACAAACUCAAAUAUUGCUGAAAGUUUACAUAGAAAUACACAAAUUAUUUAGCUCAUAUUUAAUUUACAAAUAACUAAACUAUUAAAAAAUUCAAUAUUUCCCACAUAAUUUACUUAUUCUAAAAAUGGCUAAUUCCAUACCUCUAUCUGAAAAGUACUAAAGUAUGAAAUUACACCUACAAUUUAUAUGGCUAAUUUAUAAAUAUUAAAAACACAUUUACCCUAAUUUUUCCGUAAUACAUAAAAUUAAAAUAAUCUCAAUUCUACGUCACAUUUACUGUCCAUUCUCCCUCACAUUCAAACUAUCCAUCACAUUGUAGCUCAAAAACAUGCAUAAAUACAAAUCCACUACAUGCUUAACAACAAACAAACUCAUUUUUCUCCC